rnacentral:rRNA from 1 species
UACGUAGGGUGCUAGCGUUGUUCGGAAUCAUUGGGCGUAAAGCGCGUGUAGGUGGUUAGUUAAGUCUGAUGUGAAAGCCCUGGGCUCAACCUGGGAAUUGCAUUGGAUACUGGCAGGCUAGAGUGCGGUAGAGGGUAGUGGAAUUCCCGGUGUAGCAGUGAAAUGCGUAGAUAUCGGGAGGAACACCAGUGGCGAAGGCGACUACCUGGACCAGCACUGACACUGAGGCACGAAAGCGUGGGGAGCAAACAGG